rnacentral:rRNA from 1 species
UACGUAGGGUGCAAGCGUUGUCCGGAAUUAUUGGGCGUAAAGGGCUCGUAGGCGGUCCAUCGCGUCGGGAGUAAAAAGCUGGGGCUCAACCCCAGUCCUGCUUCCGAUACGGGUGGACUAGAGGUAUGCAGGGGAGAACGGAAUUCCUGGUGUAGCGGUGAAAUGCGCAGAUAUCAGGAGGAACACCGGUGGCGAAGGCGGGUCUCUGGGCCGUAACUGACGCUGAGGAGCGAAAGCGUGGGGAGCGAACAGG